GCGUGGUCGGCCUGACAUCCUCAUCUCAGAGUCUACCUACGCCACCACCUCCCGUGACUCAGGGAAAGGCACUUCCUGAAGAAAAUACAUGAGACAGUGGAGAGAGGAGGAAAGGUUCUGAUGCCAGUCUUGUCAGCCCUGGGAAGAGCUCAGGAACUGUGCAUUCUAUUAGAAACAUUCUGGUAAGGUUUUGAUUCCGAGUUUAAUUUGCCAGUUCAAUUAGUAUUGUGAUCAUAGUGUCCAUUUGUUAAGAUGCCAUUAAUUGUGUGUUGAUUUGGCGUUAGGCAAUUCAGAAAAUAAUUUCACAGUAACACUCCUCUCCUUCCAAUGGGAGCGAAUGAACAUGAAGGCCCCCCAUCUACUUCUCCACAGGGCUCACCGAGAAAGCCAAUCACCUCUACAAACUCUUCAUCACCUGGACCGAUCAGAAAAACCUUUGAACAGAGAAACACGUUUGAGUUCAAACACAUCAAGGCCUUUGAACGCUCCUACGCAGACAACCAAGGACCAAUGGGGCAGAAACAUCAUAUUUUUGUGGAGUACAUGUCGUUCAGCAUCCAUGCAGACGCUAAGGGCAUCAUGCAGCUCUUCCGCAUGGCAGAGCCUCGCAACAUGCCGCUGGUGCACGGAGAGGCCAGCCAAGAAGAUGGAGUUCUUCAACUUCUUCAAGAUCGAGCAGUUCAGGGAGUGACACCAAGAUGUCCUUGUAACCCUAACUGUAUCAAGAAUGUCAGGGGGUUAGAGAAAAGGAUAUAGAAUUGCAGUGUGUGCCACAUGUUUGAGGAGCUCUGGGUAGUGUUUAGUAGUAGGGCACAGCAAAAUGUUUUGCAACAGAAAACAACCGUCUUCUUAUUAGACAAGUUCACAUUUCGCAGUGGGGAGAAAAAGGUUUUCUCCCCACUGAACAGCCCUGGUAUUAUCCAUUUAUUUUGAUCGGUGUUCAUUGUUUGUGGAUUUGUAAAAAGUUAUUUAAUACAGUCGAUGCACUGAAAUGAAACGUCCGAAAAUGAACACUUGGAUUAUAGUGAUGU